rnacentral:rRNA from 1 species
UAGUGUAGAUAGAGUUUGAUCAUGGCUCAGAACGAACGUUAGUGGCGCGCUUAACACAUGCAAGUCGAGCGAGAAAGGGGCAACCCCGGUAAAGCGGCGCACGGGUGAGUAACACGUAGGUAAUCUACCCCCAGGUGGUGGAUAACCUUCCGAAAGGAAGGCUAAUACGGCAUGGGACCACGGCUUCGAAAGGAGCUGAGGUGAAAGUCGGCCUCUUCAUGAACGCCGACGCCAGGGGAUGAGCCUGCGGCCCAUCAGCUAGUUGGUAGGGUAAUGGCCUACCAAGGCGAAGACGGGUAGCUGGUCUGAGAGGAUGAUCAGCCACACUGGAACUGAGACACGGUCCAGACUCCUACGGGAGGCAGCAGUGGGGAAUCUUGCGCAAUGGGCGAAAGCCUGACGCAGCGACGCCGCGUGAGUGAUGAAGGCCUUCGGGUUGUAAAGCUCUGUGGAGGGGGACGAAUAAGCGGUGGUUAAUAUCCAACGUGAUGACGGUACCCCUUUAGCAAGCACCGGCUAACUCUGUGCCAGCCGCCGCGGUAAU